CUUCUAGACCCUAUCCGUCUUUGUACAAUCUUUAAAACAGGUAACUCGUAUUGGAAUAACAUUUUGGAACUCUUCUCAUUCUCAUUAGACCAGAGACAUAUCUGAUUUAGACUAGUUGAAGUGAGUUUUAGAGGGAACGCUAUAGCAACAAAAUCAUCCAGUUUAAACAUAGUAACCUUAUGUCCAGACCAGACCCUUGUCAAAAAUAUGCUUGCAAGAUACAAGAUUGUCUCCAAGCUAAUAAUUACAAAAUGGAAUCGUGUAAGGAUGUUAUAGAACAAUUGGUACAAUGUUGUAGAAAGCUGAAAGAUCCUGCAUCUUCACCUCCUUGCUCUGGAUAUUUAAAACAUUUGCAUAAAAAGCCGAAUUGAUGCCAGUGUGGAGUUAUAGUGUUAAAAAUAUCUCAAUCUUAUACAAGUGGUCAUGUAAACUGUUAAAUAUGUGCAAACAAAUAUUUACAA